GUGCUCCUCUGCAUUGGAGUUAGCCAAGGAGCGUGUGCAGAACACUUGCCUCGUAGGCCAGCCGUAAGGAAGGAUGUCCCAGGUGCAGGCGAGGUUUUGUUCAUGUGUUCCUGGAGGAUUUUUCCGGUGGCAAGUGCUUCUCCAUCCUCCAGCAUCUCAGGCCUGUGCACCAGCCUUCCUGUGCCCGUUGAUGGACUGAGAGGAAGAUGAGCCCUUAGGAUGCCUGCCAUGCUCAGUGUUAAGAAGAUCAGGUGCAGUUCACCUUCAGAUUUGAAGGCUGACAGUACACCGUUAGGAGGCAUCUGAUGGACUACCUCAACAAUCCUCUGCUGGCUCAAGGUUGCAUUGACUAGAUCUAGCUACCCUCUGACUGCCACCUGAUGUCCACUUGUGGCACUAUGUGGAUAAUGUCCUUCUGCCUGAUAACAAAGAGGGAGAGGUUCAAUGGGCCCUCAUAUUGACAACUAACCACACAACUCAAUGGGAAUGAGCCAUUGUCCCACAUGAUACAACAGCCUGCCAUUUCCAUCAAAUUGUGGGGCUAUAUUUACUUAUUUUUUUGGAUGUAAAAUGUUAGUUUUACAGGAAGAAUGGAAUUUAAAAUGGCAUUCUUUAAAUGUGGAGUAUCCAAGUUCAACAGUCUGUACUCAUUGAUUUCUUCCAAAAACAGAAAAAUUUAAGGGGCAGGCCUGAACAAGUCACUAAUUACUUAAAGCUAUAUGGUUUGCAAAUGUUUUGCUCUUAUUUCAGUACAGUUUCAUAUAAUGAGAUGGGAUUUUUCCAAAACUGAUACACUAUAAAUCUCAGUGGACAUGCUAGUAUCCUUUCAAUAAAUUUGCAUUUCAAUAAUAUGGACAAUAUCCAUGUAUUAUAUACAGAAGGCUAAGAAACAGAAGAAAUUGCCAGACUAUAUUAUUCAAAACAUCAAGAAACUGAUGUCUGACUAAUGUAUUCAAUCCUUGUUCUGGAGAUCAACAUUGUGAAUGCAUGAAUUUCUAAGGGAAAAUUUUAAAAUUAUAAUUUACUCAUAAAUUUUGAUGUUGAGAAAAUUAGUUUUUGGAAUACAUCUUUGAUUUUUGUCACAUAAUAGAAGAAAAAUUUCCAGUGUACUAAACAGCAUAUGACAUUAUUUAUGGCAAAACAAAAUGAUUCUAAUUGAUGUUUCCUUUAAAAAAUCUAAAGAGUACUCAUCCCUUGACCUUUCUGAAUUCCCAAAUAUACUCCCUUAAAUUAAUAAAAUUGAAAAUGUAAUUGUAUCAGGAAAGAA
ensembl:lncRNA LINC02087 long intergenic non-protein coding RNA 2087